UACGGAGGGUGCAAGCGUUAUCCGGAUUCACUGGGUUUAAAGGGUGUGUAGGCGGGUCUGUAAGUCAGUGGUGAAAUCUCCGAGCUCAACUUGGAAACUGCCAUUGAUACUAUAGGUCUUGAAUUUUGUUGAGGUAGGCGGAAUAUGUCAUGUAGCGGUGAAAUGCAUAGAUAUGACAUAGAACACCGAUUGCGAAGGCAGCUUACUAAGCAAAUAUUGACGCUGAGGCACGAAAGCGUGGGGAUCAAACAGG
rnacentral:rRNA from 1 species